AGUGAACGCUGGCGGUAGGCCUAACACGUGCAAGUCGAACGGCAGCACAGUAAGAGCUUGCUCUUACGGGUGGCGAGUGGCGGACGGGUGAGGAAUACAUCGGAAUCUACUUUUUCGUGGGGGAUAACGUAGGGAAACUUACGCUAAUACCGCAUACGACCUACGGGUGAAAGCAGGGGAUCUUCGGACCUUGCGCGAUUGAAUGAGCCGAUGUCGGAUUAGCUAGUUGGCGGGGUAAAGGCCCACCAAGGCGACGAUCCGUAGCUGGUCUGAGAGGAUGAUCAGCCACACUGGAACUGAGACACGGUCCAGACUCCUACGGGAGGCAGCAGUGGGGAAUAUUGGACAAUGGGCGCAAGCCUGAUCCAGCCAUACCGCGUGGGUGAAGAAGGCCUUCGGGUUGUAAAGCCCUUUUGUUGGGAAAGAAAAGCAGCAGGUUAAUACCCCGCUGUUCUGACGGUACCCAAAGAAUGAGCACCGGCUAACUUCGUG
rnacentral:rRNA from 1 species